AGGGGUAUAGUUUAAUGGUAAAACGAAGGUCUCCAAAACCUUUGAUGUGGGUUCGAUUCCUACUACCCCUG
rfam:Bacillus lehensis G1, complete genome.